rnacentral:rRNA from 1 species
AGUGAACGCUGGCGGCAGGCCUAAUACAUGCAAGUCGAACGGCAGCACAGCAGAGCUUGCUCUGUGGGUGGCGAGUGGCGGACGGGUGAGGAAUACAUGGGAAUCUGCCCCGUCGUGGGGUAUAACGUAGGGAAACUUACGCUAAUACCGCAUGCGCCCUUCGGCGGAAAGCCGGGGACCUUCCGGCCUGGUGCGCUUGGAUGACCCCAUGUCGGAUUAGCUAGUUGGCGGGGUAAAGGCCCACAAAGGCGACGAUCCGUAGCUGGUCUGAGAGGAUGAUCAGCCACACUGGAACUGAGACACGGUCCAGACUCCUACGGGAGGCAGCAGUAGGGAAUAUUGGACAAUGGGCGCAAGCCUGAUCCAGCCAUGCCGCGUGAGUGAAGAAGGCCUUCGGGUUGUAAAGCUCUUUUGUCCGGAAAGAAAAGCAUCCAGUUAAUACCUGGGUGUCCUGACGGUACCGGAAGAAUAAGCACCGGCUAACUUCGUGCCAGCCGCCGCAGUAAAAC